AUACUCUGGUUUCUCUUCAGAUCGUAUAAAUAUUUCGCCUUUUACUAAAGAUUUCCAUGCAGUAAAGGGAAAGAGAAUUAAGUUGAAAUAGAAAAAAUAAACAUUGUGAUGUAUUU